rnacentral:rRNA from 1 species
UACGUAGGGGGCAAGCGUUGUCCGGAAUCAUUGGGCGUAAAGAGCGUGUAGGCGGCUCGGUAAGUCCGCUGUGAAAGUCCAGGGCUCAACCCUGGAAUGCCGGUGGAAACUGUCGAGCUAGAGUCCGGAAGAGGCGAGUGGAAUCCUGGUGUAGCGGUGAAAUGCGCAGAUAUCAGGAGGAACACCCAAUGGCGAAGGCAGCUCGCUGGGACGGUACUGACGCUGAGACGCGAAAGCGUGGGGAGCAAACAGG